rnacentral:rRNA from 1 species
AGGAAUGUAUAGCAAUAGCUAGUUGCAUCAUUGUAAAGAUGAUGCAAUAUUGACUAUGUUGAAUAAAAUUCUAGGUAGAAUUAUGAUAAUGACAUUGUCUGCCUAUGUGUCUUGACCAAAUUACGUGCCAGCAGUCGCGGUAAUACGUAGAAGACUAGUGUUAUUCAUGUUUAAUCGGUUUAAAGGGUACCUAGACGGCAGAUCAAGCUUUCCGAGCAGAAAAAAAAAAAGGACUAAUUUGCUAGAGUUACUUACGAGGGGGUUUUAAAGUACUGCUGGUGUAGAGAUGAAAUUCUUUAAUACCUAUUUUCGAAAGAAUUAUAAUGGCACAGGUAUAGGCGAAGGCAUCCCCUUAUGUGAUAACUGACGUUGAGGGACGAAGGCUUUAUACAACGAACGGGAUUAGAUACCCCAUUAGUGGAAGCAGUAAAUGAUGAAUGUCAUAGAUUAGCUAGAUAGGUUCAUUCUAUAAAUGAAAGUGUAAGCAUUCCACCUCAUGAGUAAUAUGGCAACAUUGGAAUUGAAAUCAUUAGACCGUAUCUGAAACCAGUAGUGAAGUAUGUUGUUUAAUUUGAUGAUCCGCAAAAAACCUUACCACAAUUUGAAUAUUUAUAUUUUUUAUUGUUUUGUCCUUAAUUUUCUUCUCUUUAUAACAUAAAAUUAAUAAAGAGGCAAUAAGAUAUAUUUACAAGCGUUGCACGGCUGUCUUCAGUUAAUGUCGCGAGAUUUUGGUUAGAUCCAUAAAAUUAACGUAAACCCUUACUUUAUUUUUAGAUAGAGUUGUUCCCCACUAUAUUGGAUAUGAU